rnacentral:rRNA from 1 species
GCAGUCGAACGGUGAAGCAGAGCUUGCUCUGUGGAUCAGUGGCGAACGGGUGAGUAACACGUGAGCAACCUGCCCCGGACUCUGGGAUAAGCGCUGGAAACGGCGUCUAAUACUGGAUACGAGACGCAACCGCAUGGUUAGCGUUUGGAAAGAAUUUCGGUCUGGGAUGGGCUCGCGGCCUAUCAGCUUGUUGGUGAGGUAAUGGCUCACCAAGGCGUCGACGGGUAGCCGGCCUGAGAGGGUGACCGGCCACACUGGGACUGAGACACGGCCCAGACUCCUACGGGAGGCAGCAGUGGGGAAUAUUGCACAAUGGGCGGAAGCCUGAUGCAGCAACGCCGCGUGAGGGACGACGGCCUUCGGGUUGUAAACCUCUUUUAGCAGGGAAGAAGCGAAAGUGACGGUACCUGCAGAAAAAGCGCCGGCUAACUACGUGCCAGCAGCCGCGGUAAUACGUAGGGCGCAAGCGUUAUCCGGAAUUAUUGGGCGUAAAGAGCUCGUAGGCGGUCUGUCGCGUCUGCUGUGAAAACCCGAGGCUCAACCUCGGGCCUGCAGUGGGUACGGGCAGACUAGAGUGCGGUAGGGGAGAUUGGAAUUCCUGGUGUAGCGGUGGAAUGCGCAGAUAUCAGGAGGAACACCGAUGGCGAAGA